rnacentral:rRNA from 1 species
UACGUAGGAGGCUAGCGUUGUCCGGAUUUACUGGGCGUAAAGGGCGUGUAGGCGGUUGGGAAAGUCUGUGCUGAAAUCUCCUGGCUCAACUGGGAGGAGUGCAGAGAUACUUCCUGACUUGAGGGCAGUAGAGGAGAGUGGAAUUCCCGGUGUAGUGGUGAAAUGCGUAGAUAUCGGGAGGAACACCAGUGGCGAAAGCGGCUCUCUGGGCUGCACCUGACGCUGAGGCGCUAAAGCGUGGGGAGCGAACCGG